rnacentral:lncRNA from 1 species
CAAGAGAAUCGCUUGAACCUGGGAUGUGGAGGUUGCAGUGAGCUGAGAUCACGCCACUGCACUCCAGCCUGGGUGACAGAGUGAGACUCUGUCUCAAAAAAUAAAAAUACAAAAAUUAGCCAGGUGUGGUGGUGGGCACCUGUAGUCUCAGCUACUCGGGAGGCUGAGGCAGGUGAAUUGGUUGAACCCAGGAGGUGGUUACAGUGAGCCGAAAUUGUGUCACUGCACUCCAGCCUGGGUGACAGAGUGAGACUCUGUCUCCAAACAACCCCAACACACCCCAAUAAAGAGUGAGGAGGGUGGAGAAUAAUUUUAUUGAGCAAUGGAAUAGCUGUCAGUGGAGGGGAUGAUGCUGGGGUGGUUUCUCUCCCAAUGUGGCUGAGUCCUGGGCUUUUAUGGGCUCAGAACAGGGGAGGGCAUGCUGAUUGGUUUGUGGGCAUUCAAAGAGAGACUAAAGCAAAGGCACCACUGAAAGGUGGGCAUGAUGAUGUAGAAAGCCAAUUCGGUAGGGUAGGUAUAUGUAAAAUAGGUGAAGGGUGGGGACGAAUUAGAGGAAAGCACGCCAGACAGGAAGUCAGGUUCUCAAUCCGGUCUGAGGAUUUAACUUGUAGCUUGGCUUUCAGGCUGUCUUUGGCUUGGAGGUGGAGCUCCACCAGGGACCCACUCCUAUCUGCGUAGGCAUUUGUCUGUCUCCUGCCACUAUCACGAGGGCCUGGGGCCUGGCUGCAUGCAGAACCCCCACCUGGCAAGGAAGGUGGCUGGAGGGGUCAGGGCUCCAGGGCCACACCCCCGGGGUGGGUGUGGCUGGGUCACUGGAGGGGAGAGGCAGGGACUUUUGCAGGGC